UUGAGUAGAGGGUCAGAGGGCAGAGGUAGAGCCGAGAUUCUGAGCUUCCUCUUGUGCUCUCAACAGGAGUGACCUUCUCUUCUCAACAGGAACCUCCUCUUGUGUAGCACUUGAACACUUGCUAAAUGCAAACUAAAAAUUAAAUUGCUAGAAGAGCACUUUAGAAGAGAGAAAUAGUAGUAGUAGAGAAGGAGAGAAUAGUUGGUUUGGUGUGGUGAGAAUGAGGGAGGAAAGGGGUAUUUAUAGGACUCCAAAUUUUUUUUUCCAAAAUACCCCUCAAAUUAGCCGUUUUUGGACUGUUGGGAGGGGUAUUUUGGGAAAAAACCAAAAAUAGCCGUU
rnacentral:lncRNA from 1 species